rnacentral:rRNA from 1 species
GUUGUUCGGAAUUACUGGGCGUAAAGGGCGCGUAGGCGGCUUAUCAAGUCAGGCGUGAAAUUCCCGGGCUCAACCUGGGGGCUGCGCUUGAUACUGAUUGGCUUGAAUGCGGGAGAGGAUAGUGGAAUUCCCAGUGUAGAGGUGAAAUUCGUAGAUAUUGGGAAGAACACCGGUGGCGAAGGCGGCUAUCUGGCCCGUAAUUGACGCUGAGGCGCGAAAGCGUGGGGAGCAAACAGG